rnacentral:rRNA from 1 species
GACGAACCGUGCGAACGUUAUUCGGAAUCACUGGGCUUAAAGCGCGUGUAGGCGGGUCGGCACGUCGGGAGCUGAAAUCCCCGGGCUCAACCUGGGAAUGGCAUUUGGGACUGCAAGGCUGGAGUGCGGCAGAGGAGACUGGAAUUCCUGGUGUAGCAGUGAAAUGCGUAGAUAUCAGGAGGAAUACCGAUGGCGAAGGCAGGUCUCUGGGCUGACACUGACGCUCAUGCACGAAAGCGUGGGGAGCAAACAGG